rnacentral:rRNA from 1 species
CUCAAUCGUGACACAGGGAGGUAGUGACAAAAAAUAACAAUACCGGGCUUUUUCAAGUCUGAUAAUUGGAAUGAGUACAAUUUAAAUCCCUUAACGAGGAUCCACUGGAGGGCAAGUCUGGUGCCAGCAGCCGCGGUAAUUCCAGCUCCAGUAGCGUAUAUUAAAGUUGUUGCAGUUAAAAAGCUCGUAGUUGGAUUUCUGGUACGCUGCGCCUGGCCCGCCUUCGGGUGAGUGCUGGUGCGCGGUUGCCAUCCUUCUAGAGAACACGUCUACCCUUCAUUGGCCGGACGUGGAAUCUAGAUCUUUUACUUUGAAAAAAUUAGAGUGUUUAAAGCAGGCUUAUGCUAUGAAUACAUUAGCAUGGAAUAAUAAUAUAGGACUUUGGUUCUAUUUUGCUGGUUUCUAGGACUAAAGUAAUGAUUGAUAGGGAUAGUUGGGGGUGCUCCUAUUCGCUGGCCAGAGGUGAAAUUCUUGGAUUCAGUGAAGAGGAACUUAUGCGAAAGCAUUCACCAAGGAUGUCUUCUUUAAUCAAGAACGAAAGUUGGGGGAUCGAAGACGAUCAGAUACCGUCGUAGUCUCAACCAUAAACUAUGCCGACUAGGGAUGAGUGAUCGUUGCAUUUUCGACUUCAUUCGCACCUUAUGAGAAAUCAAAGUCUUUGGGUUCCGGGGGGAGUAUGGUCGCAAGGCUGAAACUUAAAGGAAUUGACGGAAGGGCACCACCAGGUGUGGAGCCUGCGGCUUAAUUUGACUA